AUGAAAGAGGUUUAUCUCACCUUAUGCAAUUGCCCUGAUGUGACUUGGUAUAGGCUGCUUAAAAAUAAUCCUGCUAGACCCAGAUCGAAGAUUCAUCAGUCCCAUGUUCCAAAAAGUUGGGAUAUUGAGCUUCGCUGGACUAUUGCGCAUGGGAAGGUUAAAGGGUAUAAAGCCUCCUUGCUCAAGCUGGCUAUUGUUAAGACUGUCUAUGGCAUAUGGAACUACGGGAAUGAAACAUUUUUUGGUGCUAUGAGUAAUAUGGAACUUAAAUCUAGCUUUCUUCCUAUAGGUCUUCUCAUAGCAAUUCAAACAUAG